rnacentral:rRNA from 1 species
ACAUGCAGUCGAACGAUGAAGCCUUUUCGGGGUGGAUUUAGUGGCGAACGGGUGAGUAACACGUGGGCAAUCUGCCCUUCACUCUGGGACAAGCCCUGGAAACGGGGUCUAAUACCGGAUAACACUCUGUCCCGCAUGGGAUGGGGUUGAAAGCUCCGGCGGUGAAGGAUGAGCCCGCGGCCUAUCAGCUUGUUGGUGGGGUAAUGGCCUACCAAGGCGACGACGGGUAGCCGGCCUGAGAGGGCGACCGGCCACACUGGGACUGAGACACGGCCCAGACUCCUACGGGAGGCAGCAGUGGGGAAUAUUGCACAAUGGGCGAAAGCCUGAUGCAGCGACGCCGCGUGAGGGAUGACGGCCUUCGGGUUGUAAACCUCUUUCAGCAGGGAAGAAGCGAAAGUGACGGUACCUGCAGAAGAAGCGCCGGCUAACUACGUGCCAGCAGCCGCGGUAAUACGUAGGGCGCAAGCGUUGUCCGGAAUUAUUGGGCGUAAAGAGCUCGUAGGCGGCUUGUCACGUCGGAUGUGAAAGCCCGGGGCUUAACCCCGGGUCUGCAUUCGAUACGGGCUAGCUAGAGUGUGGUAGGGGAGAUCGGAAUUCCUGGUGUAGCGGUGAAAUGCGCAGAUAUCAGGAGGAACACCGGUGGCGAAGGCGGAUCUCUGGGCCAUUACUGACGCUGAGGAGCGAAAGCGUGGGGAGCGAAC